GGGAGCAAUGUGUCUUCUCCAGCAGCAGCACACCCGGAACCUUCUUAAGGCAGUCGUUUCAGCCCCGGCCUCUUUUAGGGGACGGACCUGGACACAAGGACAAGGGCCCAACCACUCUACUUUAAAGUGCUGCAGUGCCACUGGAUCUAAAACCAGGAAAAAGGAAAUGCCUUCAAUAAACAUUUAUACAAAUAACUGUGUGCAAUUAUUUCUUAAAUGUGCAAAUAUGC